UCUUUCUUUCUUUCUUUCUUUCACCAUUAUAAAUAAUGUGAUGAACAUCUUUGUGCACAUCUCUGGUCAUCAGAAGGCUCUAGGCAAAGAUCAGAUCUCUCUUUGGAAGACCACAGGGGUAGGAAUGCUGAGUGAGAUUCAGGUGGUGGCAGAGACUGGAGACAGGAAACCAGCUAGGAGAAAAUGUCUCAUAACCAUCAAGACGACAAGGCUCACUCUCCUGGACCACAACUGUGCUCAGCUGGGGAAGGGGAUAAGGACACAAGAAAUAGACGAAGGGAGAUGUCCAGGACUUGCUGUCAGUGGAUGUGGGAGAAACAGCAGCAUCUGGGGACAUAAUAGUGAUAAUGGUGAAGACAAUUAGAGCAUUAGAACUCAUACUUAUCAAGGGCUAUUCUAAGCUUGUAUUAUUCUUUUCAUCCUCACACAACCCUUGGACGGGGGUCCUAUGAUUCCCAUUUUAUGGAGGAGGAGAAUAAAGCACAGACCAUUUAAAUAACUUGAGCUAACCUCAUGUAACUAGCAAAUGGCAGAGCUGGGACUCAAAUGCUGGCAGAGUUUUCCGCACCGUCUGCAAGCUUAGCUGGGUGCUCGCACUGCCCACCUGUCCUCGCAGCCUGGACCACAGCAUGGUGGCUGGUGGCCCUUCUAACACGGGAGGGGAGGCGUUGGACAGAGUAUGAGCAUUUUAUCUCUGAAUGGAGCGCAAAGUCCCUGAGGCCCCAAAUGACCCCGUGGGAUGCCUGUCUGCGUUCCCAGGCCAGUGCUUUGCGCCUGGAUGUUUGCACAACAGGUCUGAAGUAAAGAUUUGUCCAACGAGUACAUGGCCACGUGACCAAUCAGAGGCUCUGCCUUAGAAGCUGGGUGUGGUUGGGGGAACACACUGGUGACUGGGACAGGCUAGGCUGCCUGCUUGGUUUGUGGGGUCUCGGUGCAUCUGCAGAGCCCCAGCCACUGAGUGCCCCUGGACCGGCAGCCACCUGCCUGGCUGACCCAGGGCCAUGGCUCUCACCUUGACGGCAGCCCGGAGGAGAUACCACAGAGAGAAAAUGCUACCAACUGGCUAUUGACAGGAAGAGCUGUGAAAUGCCCAGCCAUUAAAUGCAGAUGUCCUGUAGAUCCGCGGGAGGUCAGUUCUACAAGGUGCUGGUUGGUCCUGGGAGACUCCGUUUGGUCAGCGCCUCCAAAAGGACCUUAUUUGAUGCAAAGGCAUUUGCUGCACGACACCUAUUCUCCCAGGUUGGAGAAUAAGGGGACCAGGGAAUUGUCUGGGGCAAUUCUGGAAGGACUCCUCGGAAGAGGCCAAGUUUCUUUGAGCCAAACUGGGAAGCUGGUGAGAGGCAAGACAGAAAGAAGGCCACUCCAAUGUAGCAGCUUGCUUCAUCAAAGCCCACAAGCCAAAGAGGCAGCAGAGAGAGAGAGAGUCUGACAGCAAGAUGGAAGUGACCGUCUCUUGUAACCUAAUCUUAGAAACGGCAUCUGUCACCUUGGCCAUAUCCUACUCAUUAGAAGUAAGUCAUGGGCCUUGC